rnacentral:rRNA from 1 species
GCGGUAACCUGACCGUGGUAAUGUAGCAUAAUCAAUCGCCAUUUAAUUGAUGGAUAGUAUGAAUGGUUAAACGAAUAUUACACUGUCUCAAGUAAAAAUUUUAUGAAAUUAAGAUAAUAGUUAAGACGCUAUUUCAAACUGUAAGACGAAAAGACCCUAUAGAGCUUAACUAUAAACUUUUUUGAUAAAGAUCAUCAAAAAAUGAUUAUAAAAGAAAGUUAGGUAGUUUAGUUGGGGCGACUGUCUUCUAAAAAGAACGAAGACUAGCAAAGUUAAUAAAAAUAACUUAUUGUUUAAUAAAUUUAUUUAACAAUUACAAAAGUAGGCUAUAAUGACCCAUUGAAUUUAAGAAAGUAAAUCAAUGAUUAAAAAAUAAAAGCUACCUUAGGGAUAACAGGAUAAUUUUGUCUUAGAGAUCAUAUCGAAGACA